rnacentral:lncRNA from 1 species
AUGGUUAUAUUUGUUUUAUGCACUUCCAUGUUUCUGAAGAAUAAGGUAGGCUAUCAUCUCCAGGCUAUCAUUUGUAUCCAAAAUACAUCGAUUUCAAUAAGAACUUCUACAUCCUUCGAGACCCAUCGGACGACCACCAGGUUGUCCCCAGUUUCAGCUGACGAGCUGAGAAGGACACGGACACUUCCUCGAACCUACGUUCCACAUUACUCAAUAGAAGGCAGCAAAAACACCGUUGAUCGUUAAUCAAGAGUGAUCCAAGUAAGGCUGACAUCUGGGCAGAAAUUAGUCUUAUAGGUGGGUUUAAUAUUUGUGAGAAAGUAUUGUUGUUUUAUUUCAUUUAUGAUUUAAAUGCGCAAUCUGUAAUUCACAGUCUUCACGGCCUUUGACCGUUGACUAUCUUGCUUCCAUUUUCCGCCAACCAAGCACUUCGAUUGCCUUCACUUAUCUGGUUGUUUCAUGAAGUGUAAUAGACUUUGUAAUGAAAUUGUAAUACGCUAGUAUUGUGAUACCAUACUAAGACUGUAGCAUAGUGGUACAACUAGAGUUUCCCAUUAAUAGUAAUUUAAUUAUAAAACUUUAAAUACUAAAAUUAUUACAUUUUAUGUGACUGAUUUAAUUAAACUGAUAUAACAACCCCAGUUUCACCUACAACUAGUAACUGUCUUUCACAGGUCAGUUUGCCUUUCUGUUCCACCACACAAGGAACAUGCCCAGGCCCUUUAUCUCCGUUAGCUGGCUAUGCAUAUGCAUUUAUUUUAACAACGUUCAUAAUGUGAUUUACUGUAUACACUGUAUAUACUGGAGAGUAAAUUAACAUCCGUUAAACAUAAUUAAUCCAUAAUUUAAUUUGACCUUCUAUGGAAAAUGAUAUAAUAUUCCAAAUGCACCAAAUUGACACCCAAAAUCUGACCCUCAUCCUGAGUAUAAGAAUGUAUAAGCACAAUAUAAAUGAUUCUCCAUGGACGUUACUGUAGAUAUCUAAUGUCAGUAUAUCUCAUACAGACAGAAAGUAUUUGUUUUACGACAAAAAAAAAAACUACGUAUUUGACCAUUUAACGUAGUCUCUUAGUGUAUCCUGGCUGAACCUGACUUGACAAAAGGGAAGAAAAUACCCUCACACACUGGCCCCUUCAUGAUGACUAAUGACCCUGCUUCUCUACACAGGAACUAGGGCGUGGGGCACUCAUCACAUACGUGGGGCUAAUUCUUUAACCACAGAAUGGGUUAGAAACAGAUAGUCAUG